CAUACAAAUAUCCAACAAAUAAAUCAAUAUGAAUCUUAUGCGAGUCUUUGACAUCAUUAUCUCAGAUGGUGGAAAUCUAGUAUUACAAGAAAUUGAUGAUAAUGUUGUGAGGACGAAGCUAUAGGGUGUGUAUGCAACAUUCCUCUCUACAAUAAAAUAUGAUUUGGAGAAUCUAAAUAAACCAUUUUAUUAUUAUGUUAUU